GAUGAACGCUGGCGGCGUGCCUAACACAUGCAAGUCGAACGGAAAGACAGUGAGAGCGUGCUCUUACGGGUGGCGGGGGGCGGGCGGGUAACGCGUGCAUCCGCACCUUCUUUUUCGGGGGUCAUAACGGAAGGCAGGUUACAAUACUACAGCAUAUGAUGUACCGGUGGGAGCAACGGAUAUUGGCGGCUUUCGCGAUUGAAUUAGCCGAGGCCGGAUUAGCUGGUUGGGGGGGUAACGGACCACCAAGGCGAGGAUACGUAGCCUGACUGAGAGGAUGAUCGGCCACACUGGAACUGAGACACGGUCCAGACUCCUACGGGAGGCAGCAGUGGGGAAUAUUAGACAAUGGGCGCAAGCCUGACGCAGCAAGACCGCGUGGGUGAAGAAGGCCUUCGGGUCGUAAAGCCCUGUUGUUGGGAAAGAAAAGCUGUAGAUUUAGACCCGGCGGUUCUGACGGUACCUAAUCAAUAAGCACCGGCUAACUACGUG
rnacentral:rRNA from 1 species